rnacentral:rRNA from 1 species
AGCAUAUCAAUAAGCGGAGGAAAAGAAACUAACAAGGAUUCCCUUAGUAACUGCGAGUGAAGAGGGAAAAGCUCAAAUUUAAAAUCUGGCAGUGUUUCACUGUCCGAGUUGUAACCUAGAGAAGUGUAACCUGCGCUGGACCGUGUAUAAGUCUCCUGGAAUGGAGCAUCACUGAGGGUGAGAAUCCCGUCUUUGACACGGACCACCAGUGCAUUGUGGUUGUGCUCUCAACGAGUCGAGUUGUUUGGGAAUGCAGCUCUAAAUGGGUGGUAAAUUCCAUCUAAAGCUAAAUAUUGGCGAGAGACCGAUAGCGAACAAGUACCGUGAGGGAAAGAUGAAAAGAACUUUGGAAAGAGAGUUAAACAGUAUGUGAAAUUGUUGAAAGGGAAACGUUUGAAGUCAGUCGCGUCGGUUGGGGAUCAGCCUGACAUUGUUGGGUGUACUUCCUGGUUGACGGGCCAACAUCAGUUUUGAUUGCCAGAAAAAGGCCAAAGGAAUGUGGCACCUUUGGGUGUGUUAUAGCCCUUGGUCGUAUAUGGUGGUUGGGACUGAGGAAAGCAGCGUGCCGAAAGGCCGGGUUUCGACCACGUUCACGCUGAGGAUGUUGGCAUAAUGGCUUUAAGCGACCCGUCUUGAAACACGGACCAAGGAGUCUAACAUGCAUGCGAGUGUUUGGGUGGAAAACCCUUACGCGUAAUGAAAGUGAAAGUUGAGAUCCCUGUCGUGGGGAGCAUCGACGCCCGGACCAGAACUUUUGGGACGGAUCUGCGGUAGAGCACGUAUGUUGGGACCCGAAAGAUGGUGAACUAUGCCUGAAUAGGGUGAAGCCAGAGGAAACUCUGGUGGAGGCUCGUAGCGAUUCUGACGUGCAAAUCGAUCGUCAAAUUUGGGUAUAGGGGCGAAAGACUAAUCGAACC